CUAAGGAUGAUCCUUCAGCGAGCUCACGCUCACUAUCGGAUCGUUUUAGAAACAUCAGUGGCCAACAGAUCGCCAGAUCGUUGAGCUGCAUUGGCGGGAUUUCGCCGUCUUCGUUUCUCUUUCUUCGCGGACGAACACGCGCCGGGGCUGCGCUGUGCGAUUGCAUUCGGCGCUGGUCGCCGGUCGACGCACGCAAGACCCUAAUCCUGAAAGGGAUAGCGUUAGGGCUUGUAGCUCAGUUGGUUAGAGCGCGCGCUUGAUAAGCGUGAGGUCGGAAGUUCAAGUCUUCCCAGGCCCACCACGCUUCGCCGUCGGCUUCGCAUGGCACCGCCAGGCAGAACGACGAGGCGAAGCGCGUCCGGCAUAGCCCGAAGGGCGACGCCGGACAGAAAGAGCGCUUCGUCUUCUGGUUACGGGGCCAUAGCUCAGCUGGGAGAGCGCGUGCUUUGCAAGCAUGAGGUCGUCGGUUCGAUCCCGUCUGGCUCCACCAGAUGGUUUGAUCACCGAGAUCUUGACCGUCGUCCGCGAAACAUCACUUCGCAUCCUGCUAGUCUGGAUAGACAGCAAGUUGCGUGUUUUCUGACAUCGUAAAGAGGAGAUCGAUCCGAGUUGGAUCGUGCAACAUAUCGUUGCGCGAGCCUUCAUUAUCUCCGGAUCAUUUCGGCGCUCGCUUCCAGCCGUGAGGUUGGAUGCGGGUUGUAAAUGAUCCUUUUAGCGAAGCUUGACCGCCUCGCUAUCGGAACGAUCUUACGAAGCAAGCUGGUCUUUCUAGUCAAUGUCCGGCUGUACGUAGCAUUCAUCGAGGGUGCGCGCCCGAGAUUUCGGUCUCUUGGCAAUCGUACAGACAACAUUCUGCCGAGUGUGUGGACAUUGAUAAUGAGAGCAAUCAAGUGCCUUAAGGGUGUUCGGUGGAUGCCUUGGCGCUGAGAGGCGAUGAAGGACGUGCUACGCUGCGAUAAGCCG
rnacentral:misc_RNA from 1 species